AGUAGCUCAGUCGGUUAGAGCAUCUGACUGUUAAUCAGAGGGUCGUAGGUUCAAGUCCUACCU
rnacentral:tRNA from 4 species